GCCUACGGCCAUACCACCCCGAACACGCCCGAUCUCGUCUGAUCUCGGAAGCUAAGCAGGGUCGGGCCUGGUUAGUACUUGGAUGGGAG